GGGUGGGAACGCUGCUCUACCGGACGACCAAAGUCAAGUUGAGCAGAUAACGGUUACUAGAGGAACACAGGCAGAUGACGGCUCGCGGGAAAUUGCCGAUCGCCUAAACCAGGAGGUCAACCGACUUCGGGUGGAGGUCUAUUCCUUGCGGGAAAGCCUGAACGCACGGUGCCUAACUUAUGCUGCCUUCCUGAGGGACGACGAACUAACCAAGUUCUACACGGGACUGCCAAACUUCAAACUUUUGAAUGGUGUUUUUACACUCGUGAAGGAACUGGUGAGGCACAGCCCCAUUAAUGCCUUGCCUCAGUUCCAGGAGUUUGUGGUCACACUGAUCCGGCUCCGGCUGAAUGUACCUCUCCGGGACUUGGCAUUCAGGUUUGACGUCUCCGAAGCCACCGUCUCAAGGAUUGUGAUGAAGUGGAUCGACG